rnacentral:rRNA from 1 species
CGGGGUGAGCAACGCGUGGGUAACCUGCCUUAUACAGGGGGAUAACAGUCAGAAAUGGCUGCUAAUACCGCGUAAGCGCACAGAGCUGCAUGGCUCAGUGUGAAAAACUCCGGUGGUAUAAGAUGGACCCGCGUUGGAUUAGCUGGUUGGUGGGGUAACGGCCCACCAAGGCGACGAUCCAUAGCCGGCCUGAGAGGGUGAACGGCCACAUUGGGACUGAGACACGGCCCAG